GACGAACGCUGGCGGCGUGGAUUAGGCAUGCAAGUCGAACGGUAUCAUCCUUUCGGGGGUGAGAGAGUGGCGAACUGGUGAGUAACACGUAGGUUAUCUACCCUCAAGACGGGGACAACCCAGGGAAACUUGGGCUAAUACCGGAUGUGAGCAACUUUUAGUUGUUUGAAAGGUGGCGUAAGCUGUCGCUUGGGGAUGAGCCUGCGUCCUAUUAGUUAGUUGGUGAGGUAACGGCUCACCUAGGCGAUGAUAGAUAGGCGGCCUUAACGGGUGGUCGCCCACACUGGGAUUGAGAUACGGCCCAGACUCCUACGGGAGGCAGCAGUCGAGAAUAGUCUACAAUGGCCGGAAGGCUGAUAGUGCGACGCCGCGUGAACGAUGAAUCCCUUCGGGGUGUAAAGUUCUUUUAUAUGUGAGCAGUGCUUCUUAUAUUAACAGUAUGGGGAGAGAGAUAUUAGCAUAUGAAUAAGCAACGGCUAACUCCGUGCCAGCAGCCGCGGU
rnacentral:rRNA from 1 species